CCUACGGGUGGCAGCAGUGGGGAAUAUUGCACAAUGGGGGAAACCCUGAUGCAGCCACGCCGCGUGAGUGAAGAAGUAUUUCGGUAUGGAAAGCUCUAUCAGCAGGGAAGAAGGAAGACGGUACCUGACUAAGAAGCCCCGGCUAACUACGUGCCAGCAGCCGCGGUAAUACGUAGGGGGCGAGCGUUAUCCGGAUUUACUGGGUGUAAAGGGAGCGUAGACGGUUAAUCAAGUCUGAAGUGAAAGCUCGCGGCUCAACGGCGGAACGGCUUUGGAAACUGGGUAACUAGAGUGCUGGAGGGGCAGGCGGAAUGCCUGGUGUAGCGGUGAAAUGCGUAGAUA
rnacentral:rRNA from 1 species